rnacentral:rRNA from 1 species
UACGUAGGUGGCAAGCGUUGUCCGGAUUUACUGGGCGUAAAGAGCGCGCAGGCGGCUGGUCAAGUCCGAUGUGAAAUCUCCCGGCUUAACCGGGAAACUGCAUCGGAAACUGAUCGGCUUGAAGGUGGGAGAGGGUAGUGGAAUUCCCGGUGUAGUGGUGAAAUGCGUAGAUAUCGGGAGGAACACCAGUGACGAAGGCGACUACCUGGCCUGUUCUUGACGCUGAGGCGCGAAAGCUAGGGGAGCAAACGGG